GGUUGUAGCUCUGUGGCAGAGCACCUGCUUUGCAUGCAGAAGGUCCCAGGUUCAAUCCCCACUGGCAGCAUCC